rnacentral:rRNA from 1 species
AACGAACGCUGGCGGCAUGCCUAACACAUGCAAGUCGAACGAGACCUUCGGGUCUAGUGGCGCACGGGUGCGUAACGCGUGGGAACCUGCCCUUAGGUUCGGAAUACCUCCCCGAAAGGGGUGCUAAUACCGGAUAAUGUCUUCGGACCAAAGAUUUAUCGCCUUUGGAUGGGCCCGCGUUGGUUUAGCUAGUUGGUAGGGUAAAAGCCUACCAAGGCGACGAUCCAUAGCUGGUCUGAGAGGAUGAUCAGCCACACUGGGACUGAGACACGGCCCAGACUCCUACGGGAGGGAGCAGUGGGGAAUAUUGGACAAUGGGCGAAAGCCUGAUCCAGCAAUGCCGCGUGAGUGAUGAAGGCCUUAGGGUUGUAAAGCUCUUUUACCCGGGAUGAUAAUGACAGUACCGGGAGAAUAAGCACCGGCUAACUCCGUG